rnacentral:lncRNA from 1 species
CAUAUGGAAGACAUUUUUCACCAAUCUUGUUGAAAUCAACCUGGUUUUUCAAAACAAGAGGAAGCACAUCAAUCCUUGAACCAUUUCACCUGGAAAGAGUCACAGGUGGGCCUGCAGUGGGCAGGCAGGGAGGGUGUCUUUUCUCUACCACACUGGGAAGGGAGGGAAAGGAGGCACCUUGACUGAAAUCCACAAUGGCCACUUUGCAUCUGUUGUCACUUUCAGGGUCCACAACGACGUGGGAGGGAGAUGUCAACUAUCCUCAUUUUACAGAUUCGAAACGGAGGCUCAGAGACAUUCAGUCAUCUGCCUGAUGCUACCCAUCUUUUCAGAAACACACAGAAUCCAGAUUUUUAACCCCAGAAAGGCCCAGGCUACCUUAGCCCCAAGACGGCUUUUACUGAGGAGACCAGCUUGGAGGAGAAUCCCACAAAGUAGUCAGAGACCCCCCAAAGGGAAGACGUGUCAGGCUGAGGGAUUUCCUAUGACCUGGGAACCUGAGAGUCCAGUUGAUAAAACUUCAGGUAAGUGACAGCCAACCUAUCUCCCAA